UAAUACGUAAGGGGCAAGCGUUGUCCGGAAUCACUGGGCGUAAAGCGCACGUAGGCGGUUUAGCAAGUUGGGGGUGUAAGCUCUAGGCUUAACCUAGAAAUUGCCUCCAAAACUACUUCACUUGAGUAUUAGAGGGGAAGCUGGAAUUCACGGUGUAGCGGUGAAAUGCGUAGAUAUCGUGGAGAACACCCGUGGCGAAGGCGGGCUUCUGGCUAAUUACUGACGCUGAGGUGCGAAAGCUAGGGGAGCGAACGGGAUUAGAUACCCCGGUAGUCCUAGCCGUAAACGAUGAGUACUAGGUGUGGGGAUUAACAUCUCCGUGCCGACGCCAACGCAUUAAGUACUCCGCCUGGGGACUACGGCCGCAAGGUUA
rnacentral:rRNA from 1 species